rnacentral:sRNA from 1 species
ACGGUCUUGGUGACCGGCGAAAAAUAAGUAUGCAGUACACUGCAUAAGUCAAGGUUGGUUUUCAGAAAAUGAGAAAAGUUUUCUCCUUCUUAAUUGGGGAUAUGGGGUCUUCAGGGUUCGCAUCGCUCGUCACCCAUUGCUGUGAACAAUCGAGCGACGCUAAUAGGGCAGGCCCUCCUUGAAAAGGAGUUGCAGCUUAAUAAACCCCUGCGUUCAAUCUUCAAUGGUUGGUCGAAUACAUGUAGCAGCUGUGAAAUAUCUGUGUGUCUCAUCUCCGCGUAUGCGCCAAAGCGGAACCGAAUGAGGCUCCUCCGUGCCUCUCAAGUUUCAACUUUCAAGUCUCAACUUACCAGCCCCACUCUUCUCUUCAGCUCCGUGACCAGGCGAACAGCUAGCUCUCUUCAAUUUUCCUGAUUUUGCUCUUCACCCCCGGGCCGUACCAAGUCAAUCAUGCCUUUGAAUUCAUAUACAGGAUUGGGAUCCCUAAAAUGGUAACAAUAGCAACUUGCCCCAUCAAUUAUACUAUGAGAAA